GACGAACGCUGGCGGCGUGCUUAACACAUGCAAGUCGAACGGAAAGGCCCUGCUUUUGUGGGGUGCUCGAGUGGCGAACGGGUGAGUAACACGUGAGUAACCUGCCCUUGACUUUGGGAUAACUUCAGGAAACUGGGGCUAAUACCGGAUAGGAGCUCCUGCUGCAUGGUGGGGGUUGGAAAGUUUCGGCGGUUGGGGAUGGACUCGCGGCUUAUCAGCUUGUUGGUGGGGUAGUGGCUUACCAAGGCUUUGACGGGUAGCCGGCCUGAGAGGGUGACCGGCCACAUUGGGACUGGGAUACGGCCCAGACUCCUACGGGAGGCAGCAGUGGGGAAUAUUGCACAAUGGGCGGAGGCCUGAUGCAGCAACGCCGCGUGCGGGAUGACGGCCUUCGGGUAGUAAACCGCUUUCGCCUGUGACGAAGCGUGAGUGACGGUAAUGGGUAAAGAAGCACCGGCUAACUACGU
rnacentral:rRNA from 1 species